rnacentral:rRNA from 1 species
AUUGAACGCUGGCGGAAUGCUUUACACAUGCAAGUCGAACGGCAGCACGGGGCAACCUGGUGGCGAGUGGCGAACGGGUGAGUAAUACAUCGGAACGUGCCCAAUCGUGGGGGAUAACGUAGCGAAAGUUACGCUAAUACCGCAUACGAUCUACGGAUGAAAGCGGGGGAUCGCAAGACCUCGCGCGAAUGGAGCGGCCGAUGUCAGAUUAGGUAGUUGGUGGGGUAAAGGCUCACCAAGCCGACGAUCUGUAGCUGGUCUGAGAGGACGACCAGCCACACUGGGACUGAGACACGGCCCAGACUCCUACGGGAGGCAGCAGUGGGGAAUUUUGGACAAUGGGCGCAAGCCUGAUCCAGCCAUUCCGCGUGCAGGAUGAAGGCCUUCGGGUUGUAAACGU